rnacentral:rRNA from 1 species
UGGGGAAUAUUGGACAAUGGGGGCAACCCUGAUCCAGCAAUACCGCGUGAGUGAAGAAGGCCUUCGGGUUGUAAAGCUCUUUUACCGGGGAAGAUAAUGACGGUACCCGGGGAAUAAGCUCCGGCUAACUUCGUGCCAGCAGCCGCGGUAAUACGAAGGGAGCUAGCGUUGUUCGGAAUUACUGGGCGUAAAGGGCGCGUAGGCGGCUAUGUAAGUCAGAUGUGAAAGCCCCAGGCUUAACCUGGGAACUGCAUUUGAUACUGCAUGGCUAGAGAUCGAGAGAGGAAAGUGGAAUUACGAGUGUAGAAGUGAAAUUCGUAGAUAUUCGUAGGAACACCAGUGGCGAAGGCGACUUUCUGGCUCGACCCUGACGCUAAAGCGCGAAAGCGUGGGGAGCAAACAG